UGAGGAAUAUUGGUCAAUGGACGAGAGUCUGAACCAGCCAAGUAGCGUGAAGGAUGACUGCCCUAUGGGUUGUAAACUUCUUUUAUACGGGAAUAAAGUGAGGCACGUGUGCCUUUUUGUAUGUACCGUAUGAAUAAGGAUCGGCUAACUCCGUGCCAGCAGCCGCGGUAAUACGGAGGAUCCGAGUGUUAUCCGGAUUUAUUGGGUUUAAAGGGAGCGUAGGCGGACGCUUAAGUCAGUUGUGAAAGUUUGCGGCUCAACCGUAAAAUUGCAGUUGAUACUGGGUGUCUUGAGUACAGUAGAGGCAGGCGGAAUUCGUGGUGUAGCGGUGAAAUGCUUAGAUAUCACGAAGAACUCCGAUUGCGAAGGCAGCUUGCUGGACUGUAACUGACGCUGAUGCUCGAAAGUGUGGGUAUCAAACAGGAUUAGAUACCCUGGUAGUCCACACAGUAAACGAUGAAUACUCGCUGUUUGCGAUAUACAGUAAGCGGCCAAGCGAAAGCGUUAAGUAUUCCACCUGGGGAGUACGCCGGCAACGGUGAAACUCAAAGGAAUUGACGGGGGCCCGCACAAGCGGAGGAACAUGUGGUUUAAUUCGAUGAUACGCGAGGAACCUUACCCGGGCUUGAAUUGCAACUGAAUGAUGUGGAGACAUGUCAGCCGCAAGGCAGUUGUGAAGGUGCUGCAUGGUUGUCGUCAGCUCGUGCCGUGAGGUGUCGGCUUAAGUGCCAUAACGAGCGCAACCCUUAUCGAUAGUUACCAUCAGGUUAUGCUGGGGACUCUGUCGAGACUGCCGUCGUAAGAUGUGAGGAAGGUGGGGAUGACGUCAAAUCAGCACGGCCCUUACGUCCGGGGCUACACACGUGUUACAAUGGGGGGUACAGAAGGCAGCUACACGGCGACGUGAUGCUAAUCCCGAAAGCCUCUCUCAGUUCGGAUUGGAGUCUGCAACCCGACUCCAUGAAGCUGGAUUCGCUAGUAAUCGCGCAUCAGCCACGGCGCGGUGAAUACGUUCCC
rnacentral:rRNA from 1 species